rnacentral:rRNA from 1 species
CCUACGGGAGGCAGCAGUGGGGAAUAUUGGACAAUGGGUGCAAGCCUGAUCCAGCCAUACCGCGUGGGUGAAGAAGGCCUUCGGGUUGUAAAGCCCUUUUGUUGGGAAAGAAGAGUAACUGGCUAAUACCCGGUUGUUCUGACGGUACCCAAAGAAUAAGCACCGGCUAACUUCGUGCCAGCAGCCGCGGUAAUACAAAGGGUGCAAGCGUUACUCGGAAUUACUGGGCGUAAAGCGUGCGUAGGUGGUUGUUUAAGAGCUGUUGUGAAAGCCCUGGGCUCAACCUGGGAACUGCAGUGGAAACUGGGCAACUAGAGUGUGGUAGAGGGUAGCGGUAUUCCCGGUGUAGCAGUGAAAUGCGUAGAGAUCGGGAGGAACACCAGUGGCGAAGGCGACUACCUGGACCAACACUGACACUGAGGCACGAAAGCGUGGGGAGCAAACAGGAUUAGAUACCCUGGUAGUCCACGCCCUAAACGAUGCGAACUGGAUGUUGGGUGCACUUUGGCACGCAGUAUCGAAGCUAACGCGUUAAGUUCGCCGCCUGGGGAGUACGGUCGCAAGACUGAAACUCAAAGGAAUUGACGG